rnacentral:rRNA from 1 species
GAUGAACGCUAGCUACAGGCUUAACACAUGCAAGUCGAGGGGCAGCAUGAUUGAAGCUUGCUUCAAUCGAUGGCGACCGGCGCACGGGUGAGUAACACGUAUCCAACCUGCCGAUAACUCGGGGAUAGCCUUUCGAAAGAAAGAUUAAUACCCGAAAGUAUAGUAUUUCCGCAUGGUUUCACUAUUAAAGAACUUCGGUUAUCGAUGGGGAUGCGUUCCAUUAGAUAGUUGGCGGGGUAACGGCGCACCAAGGCAACGAUGGAUAGGGGUUCUGAGAGGAAGGUCCCCCGCAUUGGAACUGAGACACGGUCCAAACUCCUACGGGAGGCAGCAGUGAGGAAUAUUGGUCAAUGGACGAGAGUCUGAACCAGCCAAGUAGCGUGAAGGAUGACUGCCCUAUGGGUUGUAAACUUCUUUUAUACGGGAAUAAAGUGGAGUAUGCAUACUCCUUUGUAUGUACCGUAUGAAUAAGGAUCGGCUAACUCCGUG